UCCUACGGGAGGCAGCAGUGGGGAAUUUUGGACAAUGGGCGCAAGCCUGAUCCAGCCAUGCCGCGUGCGGGAAGAAGGCCUUCGGGUUGUAAACCGCUUUUGUCAGGGAAGAAAUCUUCUGAGUUAAUACCUCGGGAGGAUGACGGUACCUGAAGAAUAAGCACCGGCUAACUACGUGCCAGCAGCCGCGGUAAUACGUAGGGUGCGAGCGUUAAUCGGAAUUACUGGGCGUAAAGCGUGCGCAGGCGGUUAUGUAAGACAGAUGUGAAAUCCCCGGGCUCAACCUGGGAACUGCAUUUGUGACUGCAUAGCUUGAGUGCGGCAGAGGGGGAUGGAAUUCCGCGUGUAGCAGUGAAAUGCGUAGAUAUGCGGAGGAACACCGAUGGCGAAGGCAAUCCCCUGGGCCUGCACUGACGCUCAGCAC
rnacentral:rRNA from 1 species